CCCGAACCGUCCAGGACUAGAUGGAGACACAAGUUACCGGACCCCGAACCGUCCAGGACUAGAUGGAGACACAAGUUACCGGACCUGAACUGUGCAGGACUAGAUGGAGACACAAGUUACCGGACCUGAACCGUCCAGGACUAGAUGGAGACACAAGUUACUGGACCUGAACUGUGCAGGACUAGAUGGAGACACAAGUUACUGGACCCAGCGAAAGUCACCAUCGGAGCUGUUUUGCCGUUGACGUUCUCUCUUCUGUUCCUUACGAUGAUCAAGAACACACCAAAAGUUGAACUCUGGAAGCACCGAGCUUGAAAUUCCCACGUGAUCCCAACUCAAGCAGUAGGAAGGAAGAUUAGUCCAUGGAGCUGCACACACGUCCAUGCGGCACUAGAGGCUUUUUGCAGGUGAGGCCUGGCAAGGCUGGAAUUUCUCCUGUCACUUUGCCCCAGGCCCAGAGAGCUGCUGAAGAGACUCCUCCCCGUCCUCAAUGCCUCUCUUCCAGUCCUCAAGGGCUUUCUAUAGAAAGCUGGAAAGUGCUUCUUGACAACUUCAAAUCACUUUUAUCUCUGUGACAUAUGGGCUUUGGAUGGUUUCCUAGAGAAAUACUUGAAAAUAUAAGUGCUUUCCCCAAAUCUCCCAAAUCCAUGGUUUUCAAAUGUCUUUUUCAUUGAGUGACAGCCCAUGUAUGCCCGGGUUCCUUAAAUGUUGGGGGGCAUGCCUCUUGGUGUUAUCCCUGGAGAAAUAGAGUUUUAAUUUCAAGGUGGUUUAUUUUAAAAAAUUACAAAGAUUGGCUAUUUUAACAGUUAUUUUGUUUAAGUCUGGAAGGCUCAGUGGCUGCCAUUUAUCCUUGAAUGCAGAGACCCAUUCAUAUAAAGCUGUGGGAAUAGCCUGUGCGGUGUGAGUUGUGUCCCUGACUCUGAGAGCCUCAGUCUUACAACUGCAAAGUGGGGAGAAGGGGACCAAUCCCAUAUGGGUGUUCUGGGGUAUGGUCAUGUUCUGAGUUCUGGGUUAUGUUCUGCGUUAUGGUUUAUGACUUAGGGUAUGUUAUGAGUUAGGUGUUGCCAAGAGACAGUCAUUGUGAGGACUCUGGGGCGGGGAGGCACUAAUCCAGGGUCAGCUUGCUCCGACCACUCUUUGCUUCCAUCAACCUCCUGUUCUGACAGUGGCUGGCCCAGGAAGCACUUAGGAAAGAGUGCGUUCUGUUUUUUAAGUCAAUUGCUCAAUUCUCUGCUUUGCUAAUAAUAUAUGUGAAUUCUGACAACCGAGUUUGAUUUUCAUUUUCAACUUUAAAUCCACUUUAAAUUAAAGCAGAAUGUUAUCUAGUUUUUAAACAUUUAAUACACUCAAUCUCAUUUUCUAAUGACAAUAUCGUGUUUUGAACAUAUUUUAUGCUAUUGUAUUUUUUGCUUUUAUGUAAGAAUGAAGGUAAUUGCUAAUUUAGUUAAAGGAAAUUUAAUGGGAGCCAAGUGCAGAAUUUGAGACGGCACCCUCCCUGCCACACUGGGUGGCGCCGUGCUUGCUCUGAGUGUCUCUCUGUGCCCCAGACUCUGCACUCGUGGGGGAGAAACCAGACUUGUUCAUCUUCUCAUGGCCGCGUACAGAACACCCUCUGUUCUGUAGAACUGCUUGGUAUAUGUUUGCUGAUUAACUGGAAAAAAAAGCCAAAACUUUACCCUUA